rnacentral:rRNA from 1 species
AACGUAGGUGGCGAGCGUUAUCCGGAUUUACUGGGCGUAAAGGGUGUGCAGGCGGGCUGUUAAGUGGUGCAUGAAAUCUCCGCGCUUAACGUGGAGAGGCUGUGCCAGACUGGCAGUCUAGAGUACGAGAGAGGGUUGUGGAAUUCCGGGUGUAGUGGUGAAAUGCGUAGAGAUCCGGAGGAACACCAGGGGCGAAGGCGGCGCUCUGGCUCGCAACUGACGCUCAGACACGACAGCAUGGGGAGCGAACGGG